GACGAACGCUGGCGGCGUGCUUAACACAUGCAAGUCGAACGAAGUGGCGAACGGGUGAGUAACGCGUAAUCAACCUGCCCUUCAGAGGGGGACAACAGUUGGAAACGACUGCUAAUACCGCAUACUGAAGGAGGGGAUUGCGUCUGAUUAGCUAGUUGGAGGGGUAACGGCCCACCAAGGCGAUGAUCAGUAGCCGGUCUGAGAGGAUGAACGGCCACAUUGGGACUUGAGCACGGCCCCAACUCCUUCGGGAAGCAGCCGGGGGGAAUCUUCCGCCAUGGGAGAAAAUCUGACGGAGCAACGCCGCCGGGGUGAUGACGGCCUUCGGGUUGUAAAGCUCUGUUAAUCGGGACGCGGUACCGGAAUAGAAAGCCACGGCUAACUACGUGCCAGCAGCCGCGGUAAUAC
rnacentral:rRNA from 1 species